UUUGUUUCGCUGUCACUAACAGAUGGUACAACACAUUUAACUUUGGUUCACCCACUUACUGUGGAGACACAAAGAACAUGGUAGUAUGCCAAAACACACUCCAGUUUCACAAGGUAAACUCACACAUGCUGUUUUGCAGUUGCCUCUCCAAUCUGCAUUUCUCACAUUUAAACAAAUAAGUGACUUUAUAAUAAAAUAGUAGUGGCACUGUUUGUGAAACCAGUUCACAAGGGUGCAGCCAGGCACAGACCUUUGCAGAUUUCAAACUUAUUGGUCCUAGUUCUUGUUAUACUUAAGUGUCCAUAUCAGGAGGUUCAGGCUGUCAAGUCAGGAUUGUUCUUUUGUGUAGUAGAGUAGACAAACAUUAUGAGCAUAACCUUUUUAAUGUGAAGACUGAGCUUGUCUUUUGAUACCAGUGCGUCUAUAUCAGGUUUGAUAGAUGUAGUGGCGAUGCGCAGAGUAUUUUCAAGAUGCUCAUCUGAAAUUUUUGUUCUGAUUUUAUUUUUUGUAUGCUUCAUACGAGAAAAAAACUGCUCGCAAAUGUAUGUACUCCCCAUAAGAGAUGUCAUGAACAGGGCGUGUUCGUGAAGUGAUGGAUAUUUUUCUUUGGAUUUUCCCCUUGGAGGCGCAAGUUCAGGUCGUUUAAAUGAGCAGUGAUGUCUACUAAGAAGGCUAAAUCAGCCAUCCAGCUUGCACUUUCAAAUUCAGG